AGAGUUUGAUCAUGGCUCAGGAUGAACGCUAGCUACAGGCUUAACACAUGCAAGUCGAACGAGCGAGAGAGAGCUUGCUUUCUCGAGCGAGUGGCGAACGGGUGAGUAACGCGUGAGGAACCUGCCUCAAAGAGGGGGACAACAGUUGGAAACGACUGCUAAUACCGCAUAAGCCCACGGCUCGGCAUCGAGCAGAGGGAAAAGGAGCAAUCCGCUUUGAGAUGGCCUCGCGUCCGAUUAGCUAGUUGGUGAGGUAACGGCCACCAAGGCAACGAUCGGUAGCCGGACUGAGAGGUUGAACGGCCACAUUGGGACUGAGACACGGCCCAGACUCCUACGGGAGGCA
rnacentral:rRNA from 1 species